rnacentral:rRNA from 1 species
CCUACGGGUGGCAGCAGUGAGGAAUAUUGGUCAAUGGGCGGGAGCCUGAACCAGCCAAGUCGCGUGAGGGAAGACGGUCCUAUGGAUUGUAAACCUCUUUAGGCGGGGAGCAAUGCCGGGCACGUGUGCCCGGAGGGAGAGUACCCGCAUAAUAAGCAUCGGCUAACUCCGUGCCAGCAGCCGCGGUAAUACGGGGGGUGCAAGCGUUGUCCGGAAUCAUUGGGCGUAAAGAGUUCGUAGGUGGCACGUUAAGUCUGGUGUUAAAGGCGGAAGCUCAACUUCCGUAGGGCACUGGAUACUGGCGAGCUAGAAGGCGGUAGAGGUAAAGGGAAUUCCUGGUGUAGCGGUGAAAUGCGUAGAUAUCAGGAGGAACAUCGGUGGCGUAAGCGCUUUACUGGGCCGUAAUUGACACUGAGGAACGAAAGCCGGGGUAGCAAAUGGGAUUAGAUACCCUAGUAGUC